GUGCUCCUACGGGAGGCAGCAGUCGGGAAUAUUGCGCAAUGGAGGAAACUCUGACGCAGUGACGCCGCGUAUAGGACGAAGGUCUUCGGAUUGUAAACUAUUGUCGUUAGGGAAGAGAAAGGACAGUACCUAAGGAGGAAGCUCCGGCUAACUACGUGCCAGCAGCCGCGGUAAUACGUAGGGAGCAAGCGUUAUCCGGAUUUACUGGGUGUAAAGGGAGCGUAGACGGCGAAGCAAGUCUGAAGUGAAAACCAAGGGCUCAACCCUGGGACUGCUUUGGAAACUGUUUUG
rnacentral:rRNA from 1 species